UACACCUUUAUACAAAAUCAGUAAAUGAGAAAAUCAAUCCAAAGGCUACAAAUGAACAGUUUCUUAGCUUGCGUAUGUGCAACAGCAGAAAAGUGCACCAUUUCAAAAUAUAUUUUGACUACAUGACUAAACAAGACAAGACAAGAGCCAAAAGGAAGUUAACACCUCAACAAAUCCCUCCAGAUCACAGCAGUGAAUUAGUGAAUCUAAUGAAGCAUCAAAGUAAUAACUGCUCAGCAAAUUGUGCUGUGGAAAUGAAGAAAAUAGUCGUCCUGGAUUAUUUUAUACCACUUCACCUGAGAGGAUCAUCUCUAUACCCACAAAUAAUUUUUCAGCAGGAUAUCAUAUUUCAUUGAUGUAUUUCUAAGUGUGCAGUAUAAAGGAAAUUAUCAGAAAUAAAAAGUUACAAAAGGGCA
rnacentral:lncRNA from 1 species